AAGAACCUUACCAGGUCUUGACAUACUCGUGCUAUUCCUAGAGAUAGGAAGUUCCUUCGGGACACGGGAUACAGGUGGUGCAUGGUUGUCGUCAGUUCGUGUCGUGAGAUGUUGGGUUAAGUCCCGCAACGAGCGCCACCCCUAUUGUUAGUUGCCAUCAUUAAGUUGGGCACUCUAACGAGACUGCCGGUGAUAAACCGGAGGAAGGUGGGGAUGACGUCAAAUCAUCAUGCCCCUUAUGACCUGGGCUACACACGUGCUACAAUGGAUGGUACAACGAGUCGCGAGACAGUGAUGUUUAGCUAAUCUCUUAAAACCAUUCUCAGUUCGGAUUGUAGGCUGCAACUCGCCUACAUGAAGUCGGAAUCGCUAGUAAUCGCGGAUCAGCACGCCGCGGUGAAUACGUUCCCGGGUCUUGUACACAC
rnacentral:rRNA from 1 species